rnacentral:rRNA from 1 species
GAUGAACGCUGGCGGCGUGCCUAAUACAUGCAAGUCGAGCGAACAGACGAGGAGCUUGCUCCUUUGACGUUAGCGGCGGACGGGUGAGUAACACGUAGGUAACCUACCUAUAAGACUGGGAUAACUUCGGGAAACCGGAGCUAAUACCGGAUAAUAUUUCGAACCGCAUGGUUCGAUAGUGAAAGACGGCUUUGCUAUCACUUAUAGAUGGACCUGCACCGUAUUAGCUAGUUGGUAAGGUAACGGCUUACCAAGGCAACGAUACGUAGCCGACCUGAGAGGGUGAUCGGCCACACUGGAACUGAGACACGGUCCAGACUCCUACGGGAGGCAGCAGUAGGGAAUCUUCCGCAAUGGGCGAAAGCCUGACGGAGCAACGCCGCGUGAGUGAUGAAGGUCUUCGGAUCGUAAAACUCUGUUAGUAGGGAAGAACAAACGUGUAAGUAACUGUGCACGUCUUGACGGUACCUAAUCAGAAAGCCACGGCUAACUACGUG